UGGAGUACGAAUACUCAUGUGACUCAGUAAUACGUAUUUAUAUAGAUAAAGAAAAGAUUUAUGUGAGAAGUGGGAGGAAGUCUUAAAGGAAAAGAAACGGUAGAUUCCUUUUCCCCCACUUUUAACUUUCUCGAAAUCCACAGAUUAGGAUUUUUGUGACACAAUCAUAUGAUUUCAAAUUUACGAUGGAUACACUUAUGUUCACGGUCACCGUCCAUGAUAAAAAAGACAUUUAAAUAUACACACUAUCCAAUAAAUUAGCUACAGUGCUUAUCCACGCUCACAUAUAUAUUCAUACAACUUACGUAGAAUUGCUCUAAAGCACGUUUUACUUGCCACAUACACGUAUACACAUACAUAGGCAGAAUAUUAUGAAUAUACAGAAUCAUGGUGUACGACACCGGUAAAUUAUUUAACAGGAUGUGAAAUUUUACUGAUAUAUAUCUUAUCCUAUUAACGCACUCGAAAAAUCUACAAUUCUUAUCGAUAAAGAAAAAAGAAUUGCGAAUCAACAGAUGCAAUUUAAAAUUUCAUAUCUGUCAAAUUUGAUAAUAUAUAUAUAUAUAUAUGUAAUUAAAAAGAUUGAGUAUAUAAAUGUAAUAAAAAUUAUUAAAUUGUAACAAUGGAGGAUAAGUCGUUAAGAGAUGCUUCGAUUAUAUACGAUAAACAAUUUAAUGAAAAUAUGAAACUAGCAAAGUAUUUCUUAAAGCAAUUACGUGACAAACAAGAAUCAAAAUUCUAAAAUAUCUACGAAUGGAUUAUCACAAAAUGGUACACAAUCGUCAAAUAUUAAAUAUCAUUCGAGGUGGUCACAAAAUCAUCGUACAUAUGUUGCUGUUAAACCUUUACCCGGAAGAGGGGCAUUAAUAUACAUGGCUGUAUCUAAAAAUCCGGGAUUAGAAAAUUGGGAUUUAUAGGUAACAUUAAUAAAAUGUACGCAAUAAUUGACAAUGAUAUAUUUCUUUUUGAAUUUCAAUUUGAAACACAACUAUCAAGAUUAUAUAAGUAAAAUAGAUCUUUAGAAAAUUCCUGCCUUUUUAUGUUUUAAGGUUUAAAUAUAUAUGUAUAAAGUUUUACAAAGAGAGACACU
rnacentral:misc_RNA from 1 species